rnacentral:rRNA from 1 species
UACGUAGGGUGCAAGCGUUGUCCGGAAUUAUUGGGCGUAAAGAGCUCGUAGGUGGCCUGUCGCGUCGGCUGUGAAAACUCGGGGCUCAACUCCGAGCUUGCAGUCGAUACGGGCAGGCUAGAGUUCGGCAGGGGAGACUGGAAUUCCUGGUGUAGCGGUGAAAUGCGCAGAUAUCAGGAGGAACACCGAUUGCGAAGGCAGCUCGCUGGGACGUAACUGACGCUGAGACGCGAAAGCGUGGGGAGCAAACAGG